UCUAAGGAUGACCCAAAAUUUCAUUGGGUCAAAAAAAAUUAAGUUAAUGUGACCGUCCUCAUUUCUCUUCUUAUUAAUAAAGUGUCUACCUAAUGCAGGGCCGGUAGCUCAGUUGGUUAGAGCGCACCCCUGAUAAGGGUGAGGUCGGACGUUCGAGUCGUCCUCGGCCCACCAUUAUUAUAAAAAAGGGGGAUUAGCUCAGCUGGGAGAGCGCCUGAUUUGCAUUCAGGAGGUCAGCGGUUCGAUCCCGCUAUCCUCCACCAAAAUUGACACUUUUAGCUUUUUCACAUUGUAAAUAUAAUAUCAAUAUCUAUAUCCGAUUGUUCAUUCAUUUGAACAAUCAUAUAAAAAUUUAAUUUCUCACAGAAAAAAAUUAUUUUCUGUGCAUAAAU
rnacentral:tRNA from 1 species